rnacentral:lncRNA from 1 species
AAUUACCUGAAUUGCCCAUGAAAAACAACACUAGGAGAAACAGAACUUUAAACAAAGGCAAAGAAUGUACCAUCUUAUUUGUUUAUCCUCAAAAAAGGGAUUUUUUGAUAAUCAGAAGAUGAAACAUCAGGUUAGUUUAUAUAGAGUUAAUGAUCAAUUACUAUUUAAUGAGGUUUCAUCCCUUUAAUUAUCUUGUUAUUAUUACUAGUUAAUGAGGUUUAAUCCCUUUAUUUUUGGAUAUUGUUACUAUUUAAUGAGGUUUUAUCCCUUUAAUUAUCUGGACAUGAAUGUGAAAGUAAAAACAAAAGAAAUGGAUUUUUUUUCGCUCUUAAGCCGAGGUCUCGGGUUUGACUUUCGAGCUUUGAGAAUGAAUUGAAAAAUUACUACCAACCAUGAUAAAGCAGGCCUAGGAUUAUCCAAAAUCAAAUUAGAAUAAACUUAUGUUUGCAGAAUUUUACAUCGACGUGUAAAGAUCCAAAAUCAAAUUCGAAUAAACUUUUACUUUACAUAGAGAUAUCGAUACAAUCAGAAGUUUAACAUUGUUACAUUUACGUAAAUAUCAUAAGAAAAUACAAACAGACAAUGUAGUUAUAUUCAAGAAAAAUAUUUGUACUUUGGCAACCUACCAAAGAUAGCAUUUCCUAUUCUUAUUUUCCAAUCUUGCUUUAGUUAUAUAUAUAUAUAUAUAUAUAUAUAUAUCUCAUUUUAUGUUGUUGCUGGUGAAGAAAGAGUGACUAGUUAAUAAAAGAUGGCUAUUCCUAAAAUCUUGUCAACUUUUUUGGUUAUUUUUCUUGUAGCUGGUGCUAAAUUCCAAGUGUGUUUUGCAUCUCGUUAUGUUUCAGCUCCUGUUUCAGUGUCUCCUUCGCCCUUGUCUGGUCCACUCCCUGUAUUUCCACUGCCUUUCGCUCCCGAGUUUCAUAUACCAUCCUUGCCUCCAUUUCCAAGCACUAGUCCACCGUCCACGCCUCUAGCUCCGGGCUUUCCCGUACCAUCCGUGCCUGUGAUUCCAGGCUUGCCUAGUUCUCCGUCCUCGCCUGUAAUUCCAGGUUUCCCUGUACCAAUCGUGCCUACAUUUCCAGGCUCGCCUAGCUCACCGUCCUCGCCUGUAAUUCCAGGUUUUCAUGUACCAAUCGUGCCUACAUUUCCAGGAUCGCCUAGUUCACCAUCCACGCCCCUAGUUCCGGGCUUCCCAGUACCAUCCGUGCCUACAAUUCCAGGCUCGUCUAGUUUACCGUCCUCGCCUGUAAUUCCAAGCUUCCCUGUACCAAUCGUGCCUACAUAUCCAGGCUCGCCUAGUUCACCGUCCUCGCCUGUAAUUCCAGGUUUCCCUGUACCAUCAAUGCCUCCAUUCCCAAGCACUAGUCCACCGUCCCCACUUUUCAUUCCAAUUUUCCCUGUACCAUCCCUGCCUCCAUUUCCAGGCACUAUUCCACCUUACAUGCCUCUAAUACCUCCCUCUAUUUCACCAUCUAUGCCUCCGGUUCCAGCUUCCUGUCCACCAUCCGCGCCUUCGGUUCCCUACUCUACUCCACCUUCACCAUCUAUGCCUUCAAUUCCCGUCUCUAGUCCACCAAUCAUGCCUCCAGCUCCAGCUCCUAUUCCACUAUCCAUGCCUCCAGUUCCUGCCCCAGUUCCAUAUCAUGGUAUACCUGUUCCCGCACCAGGACCUACGCCUGCUGCUUCUGGCAUCAAAGGUGCAUACUGGCUUUCAUGGCUAGCUGAAACGGUUCCUUCAUCAAGCAUCCCUACUGAAUAUUUCACCCACAUUUUCUACGCGUUUGCUGUGCCUGAUAAUACAUCAUUCCAGUUGAACGUCAGCCAAGCUGACGAGCAAUCAAUGAUUAACUUCACGGCUACAAUCCAUUCUAAGAGCCCUGCAACAAAGACCAUGUUGUCGAUAGGAGGAGAUACAGGUUCUCCGAUUCUCCCCAGUAUGAUGAGUUGCCACGAUAAUCGCGCUGCAUUCAUCAAAUCAACGAUCGAUGUAGCCCGAAAGUGUGGCUUUGAUGGCCUUGAUCUUGAUUGGGAAUUCCCAACCAAAUCAGAAAACAUGCACAAUCUAGCAUUACUAUUAAAAGAAUGGCGUCUCGCCAUCAGCAUAGAGUCAUUAACUUCCUCUAGACCUCCACUCAUCCUAUCUGCCGCUCUUUCCUUCUCUCCUGAUCCUCUCUUAUCAGGUACAUUUUAUCCUAGAGAAGCUCUAAAAAACUAUCUUGAUUUCUUGAACCCCAUGUGCUACAAUUACAAGGGCUCGUGGGAUACUUCAGUGACUGGUGCUCCGGCCUUGUUAUACGAUAAGUCUAGCAAUAUUAGCACCAGUUAUGGAAUUUCAGCCUGGAAACAAAAUGGGGUUCCUUCAACAAAGCUAGUAAUGGGAAUUCCCUUAUUCGGAAAGACAUGGAAAUUGAAGGAUCCAAAUGAUCAUAGAAUUGGAGCUUCUGCAGUAGGAAUUGGUCCUGGAACUCAAGGAGAAAUGUCAUAUAAUAAUAUAGUAACAUUCAAUUCAGAAAACAAUGCCACUAUAGUAUAUAAUAAUGAAACAGUUUCAACAUAUUCAUAUGCUGGAACAAAUUGGAUUGGAUAUGAUGAUAUUAAUUCCAUCAAAGCCAAGAUUAAGUAUGCUAAGACUCAGGGAAUUGGUGGUUACUUUUUCUGGGCACUUGGCUAUGACAGCAACUGGACUCUUUCUAGAGCAGGUAAAAUUCCUAAAGUUCUUCCACUUUUAGACAUUCAGUUUAAGUUUUAUGCACUUACGGUCUAAUUCACAAUUAGGACACUUAUAAGGUAAUUACAGUUAAAUCUUUAUGGCAAGUAAUUAAAUGCUAAACUUAUAAAAAUACCUCCUAUAAUAGGUUAAAUGAUACUAACCGAUAAAGUUGUCGACAUGUGACCAGAAGGUUACGGGUUUGAGCCGUGGAAACAGCCUCUUGCAGAAAUGCAGGGUGAGGCUGCGUACAACAGACCCAUAUGGUCCGGCCCUUCCCCGGACCCCGUGCAUAGCGGGAGGUUAGUGCAUCGGGUUGUCCCUUUUUUUAAUGCUAUAAAUUCUUUUACGAAAUUAAAUAAAAAAAGGACAGUCCGGUGUAUAAGGCAUCCCGCAUUCAUGCAGGGUCGAGGAAGUCCCCCACCCCAACGGGUGAUGUAGACAGCCUACCCUAAUGCAAGCAUUAGUGACUGCUUCCACAGCUCGAAUCCAUGACCUAUAGGUCACAAGGAGACAACUUUACGAACUUAAAUACUUAGACAUAUAUGUCCUCUUUUUCAAAUUUAUACUACUAUUUAUAGUAUGAACAUUUGAAACUGAAUUAAUGAUUGUGUACAAUGAUUUCAGCUUCUAUGGCAUGGGAUGACGAAAUCUGAGAUGCAGUUGCGCGUGCAGGAUUAGGCAUCGAUCAUUGGAUCGUUUAUUGAGUUUAUUUGAUAUACCCUUCAUUUCUAUUUACACUUCACAUUUGGAUUAUUGCUGAG